CUGACAAGUGGCAGCGGGAGGUUCUUGACGAGAUUGAUGCCAACAGAAGCUUGUUCGUGGUUGCACCUACUUCCGCAGGAAAGACGUUUAUUUCAUUUUACGCGAUGAAAAAAAUUCUUGAAGAAGACUACAACAGUGUAUUGGUGUAUGUUGCUCCAACAAAGGCUCUUGUUAAUCAGGUCGCUGCCGAAAUCCAAGCUCGAUUUUCGAAGUCCUUCAAGCACGGUGGCAUGUCUGUAUGGGCCAUCCAUACCCGCGAUUACCGCAUCAACAACCCUACCGGCUGUCAAAUUCUAGUUACGGUUCCACAUAUUCUACAGAUUAUGCUCCUUGCGCCAUCGAAUGCGAAUUCAUGGUCACCCCGAGUCAAGCGCAUAAUUUUCGACGAAAUACACUGCAUCGGCCAAGUGGAUGAUGGUGUUGUAUGGGAGCAAUUGUUGCUCCUUGCCCCCUGUCCUGUUAUAGCUUUAUCUGCUACAGUUGGAAAUCCACAGGAGUUCAGCAAUUGGCUCCGCAUGACCCAGAUGGAGAAUGGGAUCGAUCUCACUACGAUAGAACAUCGCCACCGCUAUUCUGAUUUGCGGAAAUUUGUUUACAACCCACCAACCAAAUUUCACUUCAAUGGCUUACCAAACUCCGUACCUUUCGCCCCCACGGGUCUCGACAAUGCGUUUGGUAUGGCAUAUAUGCACCCAGUAGCGUCCAUUGUUGACCGUUCAAGGGGAAUGCCAGAUGACCUGACUUUCGAGGCACGCGAUUGCUGGCUACUCUGGAAGGCUAUGGUGAAAUACCAAACAGCAAGCUUUCCUGUGGACGAAUCGCUUGACCCUUCCGUUGCCCUACCAAGCGUUAUUCGCAAAGUCGACAUUAUCAAUUGGGAGGCUCGACUCAAACCGCUUUUGAAGACCUGGAUCAUGGAUCCAAAAUCGCCUUUUGAUUUAGUCCUAAAAGCGCUUGAAUUUUCCGUGAAAAGUGCCCAACGGCCCGAUAUUCAGAUUUCGUCUGGCAAUUCCAGACAGCCUGAAUUUUCACCAACUGUCGUCCGUAACAACUUCUUAGACACGACAGUUCCGCUCAUCUGCUCGCUCCACGAACAAGGCGCCCUUCCAGCGCUCUUCUUCAAUUAUGACCGAGGCGCCUGCGAGGCGCUCUGUGAGAUAGUGCUUAGUGAAUUUGAGAAAGCAGAAGAAAAAUGGAAAGCAUCGAACUCAGCUUGGAAAGCUAAAGUUACUGCGUUUGAGUCUUGGAAAAUAUCCAAAGACAAACGGGCCAAGAAGGCGGCUCCGGUUGAUGUGAAGAAGGGCAAGAAGGGCAAUGACCAAAUGUCUCGAGAG
rnacentral:sRNA from 2 species